GGUGGCUCAGUGUUUAAACCAUUUGGCUGCUAAACAAAAGGUCGGUGGUUCAAACCCACCAGCCACUC
rnacentral:tRNA from 1 species